GACGAACGCUGGCGGCGUGCUUAACACAUGCAAGUCGAACGGAAAGGCCCUGCUUUUGUGGGGUGCUCGAGUGGCGAACGGGUGAGUAACACGUGAGUAACCUGCCCUUGACUUUGGGAUAACUUCAGGAAACUGGGGCUAAUACCGGAUAGGAGCUCCUGCUGCAUGGUGGGGGUUGGAAAGUUUCGGCGGUUGGGGAUGGACUCGCGGCUUAUCAGCUUGUUGGUGGGGUAGUGGCUUACCAAGGCUUUGACGGGUAGCCGGCCUGAGAGGGUGACCGGCCACAUUGGGACUGAGAUACGACCCAGACUCCUACUGGAGGCAGCAGUGUUGAAUAUUACACAAUGGGCGGAAGCCUGAUGCAGCAACGCCGCGUGCGGGAUGACGGCCUUCGGGUUGUAAACCGCUUUCGCCUGUGACGAAGCGUGAGUGACGGUAAUGGGUAAAGAAGCACCGGCUAACUACGUG
rnacentral:rRNA from 1 species